rnacentral:rRNA from 1 species
CCUUACAGUUAUAAACAAAAACACAAUAUAUAAAAUACUUAUAUUGUAAAAUUAUGGCAAAAGCCAAAAAGAAACAAAAUAACAAUAAUAAAAUGUUUAUUAUUGUAUAUCGCCUCCUAGGCAAAAAGUAUAUAUACAAUACUUCUUAUAUUGUAAAAUUAUGGCAAAAAGAAACAAAAUAACAAUAAUAAAAUGUUUAUUAUUGUAUCGCCUCCUAGGCAAAAAAGUAUAUAUAAAAUACUUAUAUUGUAAAAUUAUGGCAAAUGGCAAAAAGAAACAAAAUAAAUUUGAAAUACAUAAAAUUAUAGUUGUACUUGUAUAAAAUUGAAAAGUAAUUUUAUAUAAGUCAAUCAUUGUUCUUUUUUUAAGAACUUGAGACAUUCGCAACAAAAAUUUUAUGUUUUAAUUAUAAAAGAGAAUAAUAAUAAGCAAAAAUUAUUGAAGGAAUUGAUAUAUGCCAAUUNGAAAAUUUUUGGUGUAUUUUUGAUUUCUUUC